AGACCGGCGCACGGGUGCGUAACGCGUAUGCAAUCUACCUUUUGCAGAGGGAUAGCCCAGAGAAAUUUGGAUUAAUACCCCAUAGUAUGUGAGAAUGGCAUCAUUUUCACAUUAAAGUCACAACGGCAAAAGAUGAGCAUGCGUCCCAUUAGCUAGUUGGUAAGGUAACGGCUUACCAAGGCUACGAUGGGUAGGGGUCCUGAGAGGGAGAUCCCCCACACUGGUACUGAGACACGGACCAGACUCCUACGGGAGGCAGCAGUGAGGAAUAUUGGACAAUGGGCGCAAGCCUGAUCCAGCCAUGCCGCGUGCAGGAUGACGGUCCUAUGGAUUGUAAACUGCUUUUGCACAAGAAGAAACAACGCUACGUGUAGCGACUUGACGGUACUGUGAGAAUAAGGAUCGGCUAACUCCGUGCCAGCAGCCGCGGUAAUACGGAGGAUCCAAGCGUUAUCCGGAAUCAUUGGGUUUAAAGGGUCCGUAGGCGGUUUAGUAAGUCAGUGGUGAAAGCCCAUCGCUCAACGGUGGAACGGCCAUUGAUACUGCUAGACUUGAAUUAUUAGGAAGUAACUAGAAUAUGUAGUGUAGCGGUGAAAUGCUUAGAGAUUACAUGGAAUACCAAUUGCGAAGGCAGGUUACUACUAAU
rnacentral:rRNA from 1 species